rnacentral:rRNA from 1 species
ACGGCUCAGUAACACGUGGCUAACCCACCCUUGAGACGGAGAAAACCCCGGGAAACUGGGGUUAAUCUCCGAUAAGAGAAGACCCCUGGAAUGGGUCUUCUCUCAAAGGGCGCCUAGACCAUGCUUCUAGGCGUUGCUCAAGGACGGGGCCGCGGCCGAUCAGGUUGUUGGUGAGGCAACGGCUCACCAAGCCUAUAACCGGUACGGGCCGUGAGAGCGGGAGCCCGGAGAUGGGCACUGAGACAAGGGCCCAGGCCCUACGGGGCGCAGCAGUUGCGAAAACUCCGCAAUGCACGAAAGUGUGACGGGGCUACCCCGAGUGCCGUCCGCUGAGGGCGGCUUUUCCCCGGUGUAAGGAGCCGGGGGAAUAAGGAGAGGGCAAGUCUGGUGUCAGCCGCCGCGGUAAUACCAGCUCUCCGAGUGGUAGGGAUGAUUAUUGGGCUUAAAGCGUCCGUAGCCGGCCCGGCAAGUCUUCCGUUAAAUCCAACGAUUCAAUCGUUGGACUGCAGGAGAUACUGUUGGGCUAGGGGGCGGGAGAGGCCGACGGUAUUCUCGGGGUAGGGGUAAAAUCCUAUAAUCCCGGGAGGACCACCAGUGGCGAAGGCGGUCGGCUAGAACGCGCUCGACGGUGAGGGACGAAAGCUGGGGGAGCGAACCGGAUUAGAUACCCGGGUAGUCCCAGCUGUAAACGAUGCGGGCUAGGUGUUGGGGCGGCUACGGGCCGCUUCAGUGCCGCAGGGAAACCAUUAAGCCCGCCGCCUGGGGAGUACGGCCGCAAGGCUGAAACUUAAAGGAAUUGGCGGGGAG